UUUCUUAUAAAUCAAAUAAUGUCUCUCUUUAUCAUUGAUUCUUGGAACAGCUUGAUGCCUUGAUAAUAGAUUUUUCAAAUACAUAAUAUUUUAUAUAUAGGUUCUUUAGAUGUCGCAAAACAUAUAAUAUUGAACUAAAUUUUGACUUUGAGAUAUUAAUCAAUAAUUUAUUCUGUGCAGAACAUAAAGUAUAUGUAUGCACCAAGUGGGGUC
rnacentral:lncRNA from 1 species